AACGAGGCCGACCUGCGGCUGAGUUACCUGCGGAAGGAUCAUUACAAGUGACCCCGGUUUACCACCGGGAUGUUCAUAACCCUUUGUUGUCCGACUCUGUUGCCUCCGGGGCGACCCUGCCUUCGGGCGGGGGCUCCGGGUGGACACUUCAAACUCUUGCGUAACUUUGCAGUCUGAGUAAACUUAAUUAAUAAAUUAAAACUUUUAACAAUGGAUCU
rnacentral:misc_RNA from 1 species